UACGGGGGGGGCAAGCGUUGUUCGGAAUUACUGGGCGUAAAGGGCUCGUAGGUGGCCAACUAAGUCAGACGUGAAAUCCCUCAGCUUAACUGGGGAACUGCGUCUGAUACUGGAUGGCUUGAGUUUGGGAGAGGGACGCGGAAUUCCAGGUGUAGCGGUGAAAUGCGUAGAUAUCUGGAGGAACACCGGUGGCGAAGGCGGCGUCCUGGGCUAACACUGACGCUCAGGCACGAAAGCGUGGGGAGCAAACAGG
rnacentral:rRNA from 1 species